UACGUAGGCAGCGAGCGUUGUUCGGAGUUACUGGGCGUAAAGGGUGUGUAGGCGGUCCUAUAAGUAUGGUGUGAAAUCUCCCGGCUUAACUGGGAGGGUGCGCUAUAGACUGUGGGACUAGAGUGUGGGAGAGGAAAGUGGAAUUCCUGGUGUAGCGGUGAAAUGCGUAGAUAUCAGGAGGAACACCGGUGGUGUAAACGGCUUUCUGGACCAUAACUGACGCUGAGGCACGAAAGCGUGGGUAGCAAACAGG
rnacentral:rRNA from 1 species